AUCUAAAACAGCGCUAGGGUUUGCCCAGCCGCCACGCUCCGCGCUGCCGCCCAAGGCCCGCUCCGCCCCCACCGCUCCCCGCAAUGCCGCUGCCGGUGGGCCGGCCGGCGAAGCCGCGCCGCGCCCAGGGACGGCAGCGGCGGGGCGGUUCCGUCUCCCUACCUCUUGCCAGAGCCACCACCCCACCAUACGUAGAUCUGGCCGGGAGCCCCGCCGCCGACGAGGGCCACACCGGCGAUCUCGCGCAACCUACCUGCCUCUUGUUUCCUCUCCGUUCUCCUCCUUCUCUCUCCGACCCUUGUUCAUCCGCGGUCGCCCGAGCUCGCCCCGAUUCAUGGCCCUCUCCUUCCGCCAACUCUGGUCCGUCGCCGGUCGUCUGUGGCGCGAGCGUCGCACCUCCUCCUCAACCUCCUCGAUCCGCGAUGCCCUGACUGCACUGCGCACGUGCGCCUCGCGAGCCAUGGCCGCCUUUUGCCGAGCUGCGGGAUCGACGUCUGACCGCCACCAUGACCAGCCUCUUGCUAAGGUCCCGGUCGCAGUCUCGUGUGCCUUUGGACCUUGGGAGCGACUGGGUGAUUAUAUGCCAGACGCCAAAAGCAAUAUUGCAACACCAUGCGUGAGGAACAUGAUUCUGCCAGUAUUUAAGCAUUAUACUUGCUAACACUGAGAGCUUAAUUAUCUUUGAUGCAACCAGUCCGUCCAAGCAUCCAAAUAGUUGAUUUGGGAUGUAGAGAUUAAAGAACAGUAGGGCGUCAGGUUCAGAAUUGCCUUGGUAUCUUCCAGUGUGGGACGAUGUUGAUUGUCGGGAUUUGAAGAUAAGUGUGCCCCAUACCGUGGCUGAGCCUGUCGGUUUCGCACAGCGGCUGCACGACACCUCAUGGACCCGAUGUGAAGGACAAGUAAGCCAUCCACACGAAGUCGGCGGCAGCAAGGGUGUGGGGCGUCGGGAGGAGCAUCUGGGUUGAAGGUUCUGGCCCUCGCCAUUGAGACUACCGUGUUCGUCGCCGAGUACAUCUGGGGAAGGUGGAGCUGCGAGGAAACAAGACAGGUGGACAAUGCGACAGGAAGCAAGAAUGAAUUUCUAAUCAAUCUACUGUCUCCCUUGAGUCGGGGGGAACGUACCAUGCACCACGUUGUGUUUAUUGAUCUGGAAUCCUAGAGGAUCACCGACCCUCAUAAUUCAGUAUCGAGAUGAUCUCCUUAAUUUCUCAAAUGUGUUUUAUUAAAUUGGACUCCUGUAAUUAUCCUUGCUCUAAUUUGAUAGUUUUACCCUCCCGAGCAUGUUGUGCUUCCAUAAAAACAUGAAUAUUUCUCAGCCAUUUUAUUGAAAAUGUAGUCGUAUGCUUUCACAUUGACUCUGGAUAUUCUCCUAAACGAAGGUCAAGACCAAUUGAUUUUAUCGGCAACAGGAGGCGCUUAUCAGUCGCCAUCAAGUGCCUCAACCAGUGCGGCGUCCAGAUGUCGCAGCAAAGAAAAUGCUCUCAGCCUUGGACGAUCCAUUCACUCGAUUCUUGAAACCAUUACCUUUUCUGAAGCAAGACUAGCUAGCACCCACGAUGCCCUGGCAGGGGUCAUCAAGGAAACUCAAUAGAUGGCUAUUUCAGUGGAGAUUAUACCAGAGAUGUUGUUUUGAAAGUAUAUGCCAGGAGAGAAAGAUAUACUUGAAACCCGAUGAGGUCAAUGAUGUGGAGAUUUUACCAGAGAUGUUAUUUUCAAGUAAGAUUUUGUGUGAUAUUAUACCGAUCGCUCCAGCACGCCACAUUGUUGCUCCACGGCAAAGGCAGCGAGGUAAUUUUUCUUUUCGCACCGAUAAAAUUUUCCUUUUCUUUUAGCCCACUCCUAGGUCUCUUCCGUUCAUAUUCUAAUUAAGCAUGAAGAGCGGCGGUUUCGACGGCGACUGGCUGCCUGCUGCUUGCUUGUACGUGUGGAAGGCAGUUGUUCACGGCAGACCAGUGAGCGGCGGCGGGUGGGCGCGACCACAUGAUGGUUGGAAGGUAGGCUUCGUGGCGUUCAGCCUCGGCCACCAUCGUACCACGAUCUCGGCCCACCUGGAAAGUCGGAUGAAGAGGUGGUGGACGACUGAUCCCGGAGAGGAGAACAAGCCUCCGAGCACGUGCUCAUCAACUCCAUGCCGGCCGCUCCAAGCGCCUUUGCUCAUGUCUUCGAGGCAGGCGCCGAGAUAGCCUUUGCAGCGACCUGUGGUGUGUGGGCUCUGCGGCGAGAUGGGAUUCAGAAUCCUUUUCCGUGAUAGCACAUCCAAGGAAGGAAGGAGAUUGAGGUCGGCACCUCCUGAAGGCAUGCAUGCUCUUCACCGAGAGAGGGAAGGGUAUCUUUUUCUUGGGUUGCGGUUUCCACCUUGUUGUUGGGUGAGCUGAUUCGUUGUUUGUCAGCGCUCUUGUGGAUAAUCAAACAUGGGGUGCAUGGCAAAAUUAGGACAGGCUGAAGGCAGCAAAUUCCGCGUCGGCCGUGCACUGUGAGGAGAAGACAUUGUCUUUGUAUAAGUGCCCCUACAAUCAUCUCUUUACAUCAGAGAUAAGGCCUUCAUAUAGAUAUGGCCGCAUAAAUCACACCGAUGGAUCCAGUCCUUCGCUAGGUCCAACCUACCCUGCACCAGCCUCAAGCACGUUAUUCAGUCAACGCAUAUUCUGUCUUUUGGCAUGUGUAUGCUUGCUGUUGUGCUCAUGUUGUAAUCAUGACCUGUAUAACUGCAUUGUUACUGAGAAGAUGUGAAUAUUAACUUAGGGAUCGGAGCUGAAGCUCUAGCCGAUAGCAAAGAUAUGAAGUCUGUGCUCUGUCUUAUGUUUGCAAGUAUAUUGAUGUAACUUCACAUCUUGCCCCCGUAUUGGGCAGAUGCUUCAGAAUGGAGUCACUCCUAUGUGUACUGCCACUGUAAUCACACAACAUGAAUUUUUCGUUUUUGUGAUCAGAAAUUUUGCCAAGAAACUUGUUGGAUUAA